rnacentral:lncRNA from 1 species
AACGGCUACACCGACGUCCUUAAGAGAGGCUUUGAUGCAUAGCUUUGGGGAUGCAGGGGAAGGGAGGCGGAUGAGUGAGGUGGGUUUGGAGGAGGAUGUGGACUUGAGGCCGGUGAAGGAAGGGAUAGCGACGGCGGCGGAGGUGACAGCGGCCAUGGUUGUAAGAAAAUUGGGGAUAUUUGUGGGUAAUAAUCAAAGAGGAGAAGAGAGGGGAAAGUGGUAUAUAAGGAAAAGGGAAAGAGAUUGAUUUGAUAUUUUUGUGUGGUUUUGGGAUUGGGAGUGAAUGGAUGAGCAAUGUGUGGCUUUUAGUUUGAGCUUUGGAUAGUGCAUCAUAUGGAUUAUAUGAGUUUUCUUUGGGUGAUUCUCAUUG